AUUACACAACUCCGUCCCGAUGCUGCAGAGAACAGCAUGUCCAGGCGAAGCCCAACCCCGCGGCCCGCGGGAGACAAAUAGCAGGAGGACGGGACCUGUGUGCGGCCGCGCCCACCGCAGCCCAGCUCAGUCACUCGAGGCCCGGCCGCCGUGGGCAGAGGCCACCGCCCCCCUCCAACCCAGCCACUGCCUCCACAGAAUGGGCACGGGAGGCCCAGGGGCUCCGGCCCAGCCCAGGGCUGCAUGGCGCAGGCUCGGGUGGCCCCUGAGCCCCCGGGGCUGGUCGGACCCUGUUGCCGUGAGGUGGUGGUGGGACGAGCGAGCGGGAAGGGCCGGAAGUGUGGAUUUUACCGGAUUCCCGCUUACUCGGGAUGAGCUGCCUGCAGAAAAUGGGCUGUUAGAAUCUUGCCUUUCAUGUCUGGCCAGGAAUAUUGCUCCUCGGAGCAGAGGGCUGUGUCCAGGCUCCUCAGCAGGGCCCAGGGGCCAGCUGUCCCAGAAUGACUCUAGCCUUCGCUGGAGAAAGUCUCUGCCAGGAGAAAUGGUGAAAGUGGCACAAACCAGGAGACUUCCUGCAGACACAGCCCCAAGCUACCAGAGCCUCGAGGAGCUCUGUCCCUGUGAAGAAGCCGGGACCUGGGGACCUGUGCUUCCCACCCUGACAACACCUUCCUUACGGAGGCCACAGAUGCCUGGUGGGACAGAGACACAUCUCUCUCAAGAUGGGGACGUCCCCAAGAACAUCUCUCGCUUAGGUCCCAGCCCUGCUCACAGACCAGACAACUGAAGGAGCCAGAAGAGCCCGCCUGCGACCCCAGCAUGGUCUCUGGGUGACAUGGGCCCAGACACAGGGUGUCUCUCGUAGCUGGGAGCCCAGGGAGCAGAUGAAAGCACAGAUCUUGUACAGUCCCCCGUGUGCGCUUCCUGGAGGGAGUCAGACUCAGAGAGACAGAGAGUGGAAUGGGGGUCGACCUCCAGGCGGCGACAGAGAUGGUUCCAGCCUGGGAAGAUGGAAAGUUCUGGAAAGGGAUGGUGAUGAGGGCUGCCCAGCCAUGUGAAGUGUUCAGUGCUUCUGGAUUGAUGGUGAAUUUUAGGCCAUGGGUAUUUUAGCACAAUAAGAUAAAUUUUGAAAAAAUACUGCAGUUCCUGGGGCCCAGCAGUGCACGCAUGUCGAGAAAGGCCGUAUUCUCGGGGAAGAACAAGCCAGGUGUCCAACGUCUCCCACGGCCAACGGAGAGGUGCAGAGGCUCUGGGGCUUCUUUGGAGUCUGGGAGCAACACAGCCCCCCCCGCAGGCGGGAAUCACUCCGACCCGUCCACUGGGUCACCCACAAAUCUGCGUGGUGUGGGGCCCGGAUCAAGAGGGGGAUGGGCAGAUAGAGUAUCGUGCGGCCACGGUCUCUGUUUGGGAAGAUGAUCAAGUCUCAGAGACCAGGUAGAAGUUGCAUAAACUUCUUGCAAGUUGCAAGAGCGACGUAAACAAUCACGAACCAAGCCAGGAGGCGGUGGGGAUCGGCCGACGACGGAGCAUCGCAGAUGCCCAGCCCCAGCGCCCAUGUCUGAGCUUGGGAGUGUGGAGGGGUCACUCUGUUCCCGUGGGGCGUGGGGUCAGCACCAUGCUCUGCCCCGGGGACUGUGUAGAACACGGGGAGCUUCUCAAACGUCGCUCAGGAACAUCAGUCUUCUGUGCUGGCCUCCACGGGGCAGAUUACGUCCCGGCUGCCGCAGGGUGGCCCCAGCCAGCCACAGCUCUGAGCUCUCAGGCCUGAGGCCAGGAGCUCGGGCUCAGUAUGGGGCUCUGAGAUGCACAGACAGGUUCCCACCACCCAGGAGCUCCUGGACACGGGGAGCAGACGCAGGAGCCCCUAAGCACAGUCCGGCACGCAGCCCACGACACAUGGGGUCCUCUGUGGCUGCCACUUUCAGAACCCACGUCUCUUCCCCCCCCAACACCCUGAGCCUGGGAAUGGCUUAUAACCUGGGAAUGAACAGGACAUGAAUCGUAGAACCGGGCAGGCCGAGGAGAUGCCUCCAGCCCAACCCCCUUCCUUCAUAAACAGGCUGCACACAUGGGCCCUACCGGCACCCAGGACCCGGUUCAGUCUUCCCCAAGGUGGACACCGGGAGCCUGAUUCACAGCGGAGUUGAGCUCACCACUCGAGGCGGUUCGAGGCUGGUAAGGACCAGGACUGGGACGAGAGCCCGCGCGGGCCUGCCCACCACCUCCUCCCUGCCUCGCUGGGGCGCAGGUGGGCACACGAAGCUUCCCUGCGUGGGUACUGCCUGGGGACACCUGCCGCGCGGCCAGCUGGCCAAAGAUCCCGAGGCGGCCAAGAAGGUCCAGGCACAGGCCCACACAAGCUCCCCAAGGCAGGGCCUGGGACGGCCAGGCUCCCUCCGCGGCCCAGCCCGGUGGCCGCUGUCUGCGUCACCUUCCGGUUUCAUGCUGUUCCUUGGCCGGAGCCCUUCUCUGCAUUCUUCUGCUCAUCGCUUAAGGAUGAAUUAAAUUCUUCUCAUUUUUUUACCCUGAUGCAAAAUAACAACUGAGAAAGAAAGAAAAAGAAACGCCAGCUGACGAAAACCCCCGAGUGCGUCUGGCACCGCAUUUUGGAUCACACUGGGGGUGAACCCCGGGGUGCGCCACCUGGGGGUGCGGCUCCCUGAGGCAAGAGCAUGUGCGUCCCUUUGGUUUGGGGGAACCCGAGUGCAAACCUGUGACUCAGAAAUGACGGGACCUGCCUCCCGAGCUGGAGGAAGAACGGAAGGCAACGGGGCACGGAGUGGGCGCUCAGGGAUAACGCUUCCUUCGCCAACAAACAUGUUCAACCACGACCCAUCUGCCUGCCCGCACUUGGCCUGGCCCACGGGUCAGCCUCGCAGAGAGCCCGGGGGCCAUCGAUGGCGUAGGGCUCACUGUCUCCGUGGAGGCUGAUCAUUCGCUCCUCUGACAAGCUCUGGGUUCGAUGCUGCAGCCGGGACAUCUUUUCAGAGGAAAGGCCACUCCCCCAAAGGCCACAGGGUGACAUAGCAACGACCCUGCCACCAAUCGCUGGGCACCCACCAUGCCCUCCAGUCCUGGCGACGGCCCCGCAGCACAGGGGUCUCUACUCCUGAACCACGAGCCUGUAACCAGAGCCCCCAAGAGCUGACAUAACAAGCUCGAGGCCAUAAAAGCAGUGAGGGUCUGAGGCCAGGCGCCCCGGCUCCAGAGCCAGUCACCCCUCCUCCCAACACGUCCUGAGCCCAGAGCCCGG